CCACUACUGCACAGCAGAGCCUUGGUACUCUCUGGCCAUACAGUUGGCAGCUGCACAGCAGAGACUUUGGUACUCUCUGGCUAUACAUUGGCAGCAGAGACAUCAAAAGAAGAGGCGAAGAUUCAAUUACAACCAUUAGCAUUUGUUAUCUCCCUUCAAAGAGCUCGAAACAUGCAGGAUUUACAGAGAAAACAUGUAAAAUAAAAAUGAAGUUGUUAGCUUAUGAUAAUUACAAAGAAGUAUACUCACUGCAAUAGGCAAAGUCAUUGAGAUCAAGAGUCACCCUACCUUGCUUUAUCAAAUGAAUUAAAAAGAUUCUGGGAAAAAAAAUGAAUGAGGCAUAACGAUUGUGCUGAGUGCAUUUAACAUAAGUGGUGCCAAAUAAUUCUAAUUUGUUUCAGGCAAAAAUAGUGCAUAGUCAAAGACUGCAUAUGCAUUCAGCAUUGUUUUGGUGUGUUGAUCUGUGCCAAUGUUUGAAGCAUCUAGUUGAACCAUGACAAAGAUAUUUAAAUUAAUAAGAAAUACAAACCCAUUCAGAGGUGCAUUUGACCACAGAAAUUAUUACUAGGAAGCAUAUUGCACUAACUACUAACAUAAUAUGACAGCUAUAUGUAGAUUUAGGUGAUACCAUGCUGAGCAGAUUGCAAAAAUAUACAAAGGGAUAUGAAGUCAUCCGACAAAAUAGUCCAUUCUUCUUCUGAUCAAAGAUCUCAGAAGAUACAAAUUUUAACUUGAUCAGACUGCUAGGUUCUCAGAUACAUGCAAUAUAGAGUCUGGUACUCUAGGAUACUUAAAAAUAGGUUACAGUAGGAAAAAUCAGAAGCAGACCUACCAAAAUCUAAUUGAAGGAAGAGCCAAACAGAUCAAACCUCUAUAGCAUCAUGAAAUUGAAUUAAGAACAGCAAAUCGGUUAAACCAAGGUGAAGUAUACACCACAUGUAGAAAAUCACCACAUUUUCCCAACCCUGAAUUUUGUAGAAAAACACUUGCUUUAAUCUUUUGCCAACAUAUAUACAUAUACGCAAUAGCAAAAAGAUAAUAGCCUUACCUCACAUGCUGGUAAAAAGCAGGAGAGUCCAAGGAGAAACCAAAAUUUACCAAUGCUUAUUAAAACAAAAUUUAAAAAAAAAAAAAAAAGAAGAAAGCCAACAAUAAUAACAUGAGAAACCAGGAAAGAGAACAACUGGCCAAAAAAAAAGAGCAAACGCAGCUUGAAAAUAUUUAAAAUUUCUUGAUUUAGAUUAGAGAAUUAAGAUUUAAGCUACCUCAUAAACAUCAUCAGUAACAGGGUACCUGCAAUUCCUGAAGAAAUGGUACCAGUAAAUGCAAGAGUCUUUUAGUAUAAUGUUUAGGAAAUAUGAUCUACAAUGCUGUUCAUUAGUGCCAAGAAGGAACCAAAGUUCAGUCCUAAAGUGUAUACUGAUAAAAAAAAGUGAACAUAGAAGUGUUCACAUUGCUGGUCAUCACAGCAACGAAGUAUUAUUUCAAGCAUGGCAUUGCUUUUUAAAGAUACUAACAGCCAAAGAUAGUUUAUAUUGUCAAAUGCAAAACAACAGAUAGUCAAACUAAAAGAAAGGAGAUGAAGACACAACUGUUAUACACUUUUCGGGCCUCUAACUAAUUCAAUUUGUUACUUAAACAUUUCAAAUGCGAUAAGAUAGAAUUGGAAAGAAAAAAAAAACAUAUAGAAACACAACUGUUAUGCACGUUUCAGACACAAUUUACACACAUUCACAAGGUAAAGUAGACAUGCUACAGCUACAAGAACUGGAAAGAAAAAAAAAACAACCAACCAACCAAUACAGCAGCAAAAAAGACGAUGACGGAAAAGGGAAGAGUGUAAAAUUUGACUGUAAUAGGAAGGCUAUCAGUAAAAUGGAAAUGGAUUAUCUUUCCAAGUCUGAGAAGGCAUGUCGGACCUACAAGGCAACCAAGUAAAAUAAAUUAAUUUGUACAAUGUGCAAAAGUUCCUAUGUAACAACUAAACAAGUGAAAGCUCAUACUCUAACAAGACAUAUACUAAUGGCUGGCAUUUUGGACACAUAACAUCAGCAUAGUUCAACUUAUAACUUAUUAAAAUUAGUUGUCAGUCCCCUCUAUUCCUCCAGACAUGUUAUGAGUGGACCACAAGUGAAAGGAUUGAACAGAGUAUUACAACCUCCUUCACUAUUCAAUUAACUUGAGACAAUUUCGCUUUGUUUGUGCAACAUUUGUGCAACUACCGAAUGGUCCCCACCGUUAGCAGCCAAUCAAUGCCACUGCUUUUAUUAUCCAAGUCAGCUCUUAAAAUAGCAAUAAGUUCAUGAUCCAGUAAAUAAGCUACUUUCCUGGCAAGAACAAGAGCAAGAAGAGCAUCCUCAAACAAUGUCUGACACCUCCUUCCCCACCACAUUUUUGCCCCGUUAAAGGUUUCCAAACAUUGACAUUCCAACAACCCUUAGCUGGAGGCACCUAAGACCUAUGUGCAUGCCAAAACAUUUAUCCAUUCAACUUAGACAAAAGCAUGAAAAAGACCCCACUUCUAACAUCCUCAUCUAUGUUCUCAGUUGGAAAAAAUAUUAUUAUUUCUUUCAUAUUUCUUCUAAUAACAUCAAUGAUUGCAACCAAAUGGAAUUAGGGUAAAAUCUUUUCAACUUGCAUUUGCCAUUACCACCCAGUUCGGCUUCUCUCUUCUUCUUUCCUCUCUCCUUUUGCCUUGUAUGAAUUAAAAGUAAGUACCAAAAUUCCUUAUUGUUGAAGGACAUGUUAAACAUUCUCCCCAUAUAUUAGACCACGAGAAAAGAACUGCCAACAAUUGAUACCUAUUCUCCUUUCAAAUCAAUAGGCAAUUAUCCUUCAACUCAAACUCAGAAAUCAAAAUUUAAGAGUAACAGAUAAAACACCUGAGUAAAUAACUAACCUUGAGAAGAAACUUGCUGAGCUCGACAAAUCCUAUAGUUAAAACAUACAAAGCAAAAAACCAACCAGUUUUUGACAAAAUUAAAUCGCAAUUCCAUUAAAAUGAAUCAAAUUUGAAAGACGUAAUUUACACCAAAGCGUAACUGAAACUAAGCCAAAAAAGAACUCACAACAAAAUGCCAGUAAAAGAUUAAAUAACCUUCAAAGCUCAUGGUGCCAUUUGGGUCAAGAUCAUACAUCCUGCAGUAAUGCUGCGAACACAUCAACACAGCGUAGAAAGAAAUUCAGGUUGUCGACAGAAAAAAGCAACCGGAACAACGAAAGGCAUGCCCCUUUUUUUUACUAGUUUAGACAUGUAUAUUGGAUGUGAGACGAAGAGAGAGAGUGGAGCUAGAACGAGGAGGAGAGUGGAGAAAGAAAAUAAACCUUGAGCUUAGUGGCCGUAAUGCUUCCGGUUUUCUGUGAGUCAACUCGCUCAAACCACUGUCUCAGAAUCAUCGUGUUCUACAUUUUU
rnacentral:lncRNA from 1 species